rnacentral:tRNA from 1 species
UCCUUGAUGGUCCAGUGGUUAGGACUCUGUGCUUCUGAUGCAGUGAGGCCUGGGUUUUAUCCCUGGUCAGGGAA